UCUUAGAAAUUAGGGCAUAUCGUAUGCAUAAACACCGUGGACUUUAUCAAUAUUACAAACGACUUUAUAAUGAAAACUCGCGACACGGAAUGAGGGGUUCAAUGUGUACAGUAUAUUCAUUCACCGCAUCGCCACAAAACUAUUCGC